UCGGCGACCUUCCGGCCUCCGCCUUCUACGCCACCCUUCUCUCCCUACACCCCAGAUCGAAUCCAGCAGCUCAGGACGAAACCCUAGCUCGAUGCCAUGGCCACACCAGCAGCAGUCCCUCCCUCCCUAGCCCGCGGCCAUGGCGACCUAGCAGGCAAGAGGAACCUGAACCCUAUCACCGGCCAUGGCGAGCGUGGAAGGCACCAUGGGAGAGGAGGCAUGUGCUGCUGCUCAAGACCCUAAACCAGAAAGGAAGCUCUUCCUCACCUCACCUUUUCUCUCUCCCUGAUCGAGCACCUUCGCCAUGGGAGAGGAAGGUUGUUUCAUCCGCCUGCUGUACUGCUGCUCUAGGGGACAUGCACCUGCUUGUUGUGCUGCUGCUCUGUACGCCAUGGACAUCCCUCCUCUGGUUCUCCUCGCUCGUCAAGGUAGUAAGCUGCUCUAACCCAUCUUCCCCUCUCAAAUUCGGUACAAGAAAAUGAUUUUUGUAACUGGACAUCAAAAGCAGAACCGGUGUGUGUUGUUGGUCAAGCAAGAAGAAAGAAAAAAGGCAUCCGUUGCCUGCAAAACAAAUCUGUGUGUGUGCUGCUCUCCUCCUCCUCUGUUUUUGCUUGUGUCAAUUUGCUCCAACAGCUUGCGCGCGUGUGUGCAUCCAUUGGGAGAGAGAGAGGCUCUUGCCAACACCUCUACAAUCUCACCGGAGUUCUAUUUUUCUGUGAUGUUGCCUAUUUUGUUGUUGAAAUUGACCGUAUCCCUGUGUCAAAUGGAUAUUUUUUCCUCCAUUGAAAUGAAGCAUAUUGCUUUUGAGUGCUCACAUUGACAUUACUGUGGAAUAAAAUGUUCAUUAUAUGCUCUUCUGUUGAAUAACGUGUAAAACAGGUCCAGCCAUUUGCCAAGUCUAUUAUAUUUGUUCUAAAAGAAAAGAAAAAAAAACAGGUUCUUGCCUAUCUAUAGUAUAUGUGUUUUCAAAAAAGCUGUAUCUUUUUCUUCGAGAGAGAUGCACUUCUGUAUCAACAUUCUUUUUAAAAAGUGACACAUGUCUAUCCAAAAUUUUGAACUUCAUGGCCUCGUAUAAUUUCUUGAGUUGGUGAAAGUAAUUGCCGGAUACUGAGAGUAACCACAACAGAUAAAUAUGUCAUCAAACCACCAUGUUCUACCCCAUUUUGGAGGAACAAGAUUAAAGUCAUACCAGCAGAAUUAACUACAUGAAAGGUCCAUCCUUUUCAGGAAAAACCCACCGUGCAGCCCUACGAGCAAGUUCAUGAGCAGAAGGAUUGAGCUCAAUCAAUAAAUUUGAAUACUGGCUAGGCACACAUCCACACGGAAACCAGUACUAGAUCGAACAGUAUUGACCAUGGGUUCAGGUUGACAAUGGUCAUAAACCUCUCAUCACUUUGGUAUGUUGAUUGACCUCUUUUUUGCACUGCAUGUGCAGGUGCUAAACAUUGGUACGUGUUGGUGGGGCUCGACAAGCUCACCCAGGGAGGGCACCCCCAAGCUGAACUCCAUGGAGCCCCGCUCCAGCGUCUAGGACAGGUCUUUGUUACUGGAUCCAUUACUAGGACAUGAUUUCUUCUUUUCCUUCUCCAUUUGAGAUCAACAUUCGUUAUGUCCUUCUUGUGCAGCAGCAGCAGGAUUCCAUCGGUACACGAGAUGACAAGGGGUUCAUCGAGGUGUGUGGUGGUAGGCUCUUUCGUUGGACCCGCUGCCUGUUCGGCAUCGGCUCCAUAACAGUCAUGAACCAACUAGCCUGUCCUUCCAUUUGUGGUAUUGAUGGCCAUGGACCACGGUUCUAGUAGUCGGCAAAGCACGUAUCUACUAACUGCUCCUAUCCAGGAUGCGUGCAAAAGGUUCCCCUGGAGGUUGGGGCACACCGUGGAUGGCUUAAACCCGCCCUUCUUCAGUUACAUUCUAGAUUGUGGUGCUGAUCUCAGUCAGGAAAAGGAAGAGAACAUUAUUGUUCUUCAUCUGUCCGUGAAGAAAGUUUUGCAUAGAUGAAGUGCUGCUAGCUCUGAAAGGCAAUAGAAGAUGAUCCUCCGCAUUUAUUCAAGCCUAGCUUUGGUGGCCGGGUCAGUGCGGGAGGAGAAAGGUUUCCGGACUCAAGGAAGAGGCGUCGUGAAAAGAAACUAGGUUGUAAUCCACAAGGCGGGACAUGGGACCUGGAUGGAGUUGCCCUUGGCAAUGGAUGGUUUGUUGGUGUGUGUAAUAGGCUGGCUGUUGUGUUACGCCUUUGUGUAUGGUGGCCGGCUAUAGUUAAGAGCUGGUGGAUGGCAGAGUUGUUGUAGCGGCACACAAUACAUUGCUUUCCCUCUUAUGUGAAAUACAAAAUGGUUGUCCUA